GAAGUGAGCCGGACGGUCGCUGCUGUGGAGGUCUUCGUGACUAAAGCAGGGGAGGAAAGUCCGGGCUUCAUAGGGCAGGGUGCCAGGUAACGCCUGGGCGGCGUAAGCCGACGGAAAGUGCAGCAGAGAGUAGACCGCCUCAUUCGUGAGGUAAGGGUGAAAGGGUGCGGUAAGAGCGCACCGCGCUUCCGGUAACGGAAAGCGGCAUGGCAAACCCCAUCCGGAGCAAGACCGAAUAGGGACUGCGCGCCAUCUUGAAUGGCGGGUCUGUUUCAGACCCAGGCAGUCCGGGUUGGUCGCUUGAGCGGCGCAGCAAUGCGUCGCCUAGAGGAAUGGCUGCCGCCGCGGCGUAAGGUCCCUCCUUGGGGAGACCACGCCAGGAACAGAACCCGGCUUACAGGCUCCCCGGUGCU
rnacentral:RNase_P_RNA from 1 species